rnacentral:rRNA from 1 species
UACAGAGGGGGCAAGCGUUGUUCGGAAUUACUGGGCGUAAAGGGCGCGUAGGGGGCCUGCUAAGUCGAACGUGAAAUCCCUGGGCUCAACCCAGGAACUGCGUCCGAUACUGGUUGGCUUGAAUCCGGGAGAGGGAUGUGGAAUUCCAGGUGUAGCGGUGAAAUGCGUAGAUAUCGAGAGGAACACCUGCGGCGAAGGCGGGUUGCUGGGCUGACACUGACGCUGAGGCGCGAAAGCCAGGGGAGCGAACGGG